rnacentral:rRNA from 1 species
CCUACGGUGUGCUGCAGUGAGGAAUAUUUGUCAAUGGGCGAGAGCCUGAACCAGCCAAGUCGCGUGAAGGAUGACGGCCCUACGGGUUGUACACUUCUUUUGUCAGGGAGCAAUUGGGUCCACGCGUGGGCUUAGCGAGAGUACCUUAAGAAAACGCAUCGGCUAACUACGUGCCAGCAGCCGCGGUAAUACGUAGGUGGCAAGCGUUAUCCGGAUUUAUUGGGUGUAAAGGGCGUGUAGGCGGGAAAGCAAGUCAUAUGUGAAAACUCAGGGCUCAACCCUGAGCCUGCAUUUGAAACUGUUUUUCGUGAGUGCUGGAGAGGCAAUCGGAAUUCCGUGUGUAGCGGUGAAAUGCGUAGAUAUACGGAGGAACACCAGUGGCGAAGGCGGAUUGCUGGACAGUAACUGACGCUGAGGCGCGAAAGCGUGGGGAGCAAACAGGAUUAGAUACCCCAGUAGUC